rnacentral:rRNA from 1 species
UACGUAGGGGGCAAGCGUUGUCCGGAUUUAUUGGGCGUAAAGAGCGUGUAGGCGGCCAGGGAGGUCCGUUGUGAAAACUCGAGGCUCAACCUCGAGACGCCGAUGGAAACCCCCUGGCUAGAGUCCGGAAGAGGAGAAUGGAAUUCCUGGUGUAGCGGUGGAAAUGCGCAGAUAUCAGGAGGAACACCGAUGGCGAAGGCAGGUCUCUGGGCCGCAACUGACGCUGAGGAGCGAAAGCCAUGGGGAGCGAACGGA